rnacentral:rRNA from 1 species
GAUGAACGCUGGCGGCGUGCCUAAUACAUGCAAGUCGAGCGAACAGACGAGGAGCUUGCUCCUUUGACGUUAGCGGCGGACGGGUGAGUAACACGUGGGUAACCUACCUAUAAGACUGGGAUAACUUCGGGAAACCGGAGCUCAUACCGGAUAAUAUUUCGAACCGCAUGGUUCGAUAGUUAAAGAUGGCUUUGCUAUCACUUAUAGAUGGACCUGCGCCGUAUUAGCUAGUUGGUAAGGUAACGGCUUACCAAGGCAACGAUACGUAGCCGACCUGAGAGGGUGAUCGGCCACACUGGAACUGAGACACGGUCCAGACUCCUACGGGAGGCAGCAGUAGGGAAUCUUCCGCAAAGGGCGAAAGCCUGACGGAGCAACGCCGCGUGAGUGAUGAAGGUCUUCGGAUCGUAAAACUCUGUUAUUAGGGAAGAACAAACGUGUAAGUAACUGUGCACGUCUUGACGGUACCUAAUCAGAAAGCCACGGCUAACUACGUG